rnacentral:lncRNA from 1 species
AAAAAAAAAAAAGCACAGGAGUCAGGAUUUGAGCCCACUCCCAAGCCUGUUUGCUUUCCUAAGAGACAAGAUGGGUACAUUUAAAUUGUGGAGGAAGAAAAGGUGACAGUGAAGCAGGAAGGAAGACCCAGGAGCAAGGGCAGUCCCCUGGGCCCUGGGAAUAUCAGGCAGAGAGGCUCCAUCCUCCUGCAGUCUUUGCUGAAUGGUCUGCACUGCAGGGGAGGGCGGCUGGUUUCCUGAGCCAUCCCUCUAACCCCCUACAAGCGGCUCCAAGGACAGAGUCUCCAGAUCCAGGACAGCUGGUGGCCUUCACAUUGUUUUGCGUCUCCCAGGUUCUCUUAAUUAUAACCAAUUUGCCACCCUCAGCAAUUCCUUGUUCCCCUCUGCUAAUACCCAUGAGUUGGAACCAUCAGCCGAACUCCCAGCCAAACAGGCUAAAAUCACUUCCCUUUCCCAUGUAGGGAGUCCUCCAGUCUCUUAGAAACUCGCCUUUCUUCUCAGUCCUGUGAGACGGGCGAGGCCUGCCCUUCUGUGCGCUGACUUACUGGGCUGGGAUCUGCCCUAGCGGGAGACAGAAUCUGCUCAACUUUCUCCAGCUCCUCCCCGCCCCUUGCACCCCUCCACUCUCCCCCCAACCCCUCCUGCUGACUCUUGGGGCUCUGGCACACUGCCUGCCAAGCACAACCUUUCCUUUUUUUCCUCUCUCUAAAGACAGGGUCUCACUCUGUCGCCCAGGCUGGAGAGCAGUGGCACCGUCACAGGGUAAACUCCAAAACUGGGAUUCAGCCUGGGGGUGCCCCAUGGGUUCCUGGCUUGAAGCAGGAAGGAACUCAAGAGUGAGCUGACAGUAAAGUGAAAGCAAGUCUAUUAAGAAAGUAAAGGAAUAAAGGAGGGCUACUCCAUAGGGAGAGCAGCGGCAUGGGCUGCUUGACUGAGUAGACUUACGGUUAUUUCUUGAUGAUAUACUAAACAAGGGAUGGAUUAUUCAUGAGUUUUCUGGGAA